AUGUGGUCCAGCAGGAUUUCUGUGUGCCUCGCACUGGCCUGGAUCAUCCUGUCGCUCAUUCUUCUGUCCGUGGAUGGCCUUCUCCAGUACUCGGCGGCGGAGCUCUUCAACCUCCGCUUUCGCUACUCCGGAUCUCCACCACCAGCUCUGUGCCUCUUCCCCGACAUCACCUUCCAGCCUCGCCGUCGGUAUAUCCAUCGGGGGUCCCGGCGGAACCUCCAUCUCGACGGCUCCAAAGGAAUACCCUCCUUCUGGUCCACGACUAGCCGGCGGCUACCCAGGAAUACCUGCCGAGCUGCCGACUCCAGCGUGUUAGCCCGGCUGGCUAGUCGGACUAAUGCUCCUGUCGCCAGGGACUUCCGCACUGCUAAUUUUGGUCUUCUCAACAUUCGCUCCCUCUCUGGUAAAGGACAUCUCCUCCAAGAUACCAUCAGUGACCAUAAGCUAGACUUUCUUUGUCUGAACGAAACAUGGCAACAACCCAGCGAUUUCUCACAACUCAAUGACUGUACUCCUCCCGGAUUUGUUUACCUCUCCAAACCCCGUGGGUCGGGCCGCGGCGGUGGUCUCGCGAUACUGUAUCGCGAGACUUGGAAGGUCCUUCCCGUAAACCUUCCUCCUCUCACCACUCUGGAAUGCCUCGCCUGUCAACUCUCCGGCCCGACCCCCACAAUAAUUGUCACUGUUUAUCGUCCCCCCAAGUUCAGCCCUGAGUUUUUAAAUGAACUCUCUGCUCUUUUAUCCCAUCUGUCCGCCCUUUCCCCAAAUGUAAUUUUACUUGGUGAUUUUAAUAUUCAUAUGGACAAUAUGGCCCUCCCCCUCAGCAAAGACUUCUCCUCAUCUUUGGACAGCCUCAGUUUUCAUCAAUAUGCCAAUUUUCCCACUCACAUUAAAGGUCACACCCUGGAUUUAAUCUGCUGCUCCGGCCUGACCCCCUCCAACUGUACAGCUGACCCGCUCCCUUUCACGGACCACUUCCUCAUCUCCUUUUCUGUUCCCCUCCGUCUCUCCAUCAUCAAGUCACCACGUAUCAUUUCUUUUCGUAAUAUUAAGGACAUUGAUCUAGCCUCCCUGUCCUCCAGUUUUGCCACCUUGACCCCUAAUUUGUCCUCUACUCCCGAUGAUCUUGUCAUUCAGUACAAUAACGGUCUGGUUUCUAUCCUUAAUUCAUUUGCUCCCAUCAAAUCCCGCUCUGUAUAUUUUACUCGGUCUGCUCCAUGGUUCACCCCUGCCCUUCGCUCCUUGAAAGCUACCAACCGGAGGCUUGAAAGACUCUACAAGAAAACCGGUCUCACCAUCCAUAAAGACUUAUAUUCUGCUCAGAUUUCUCUCUACAAGGACUCCAUCUCCCAUGCCAAAUCUCAGUAUUACUCCGGUCUCAUCUCGUCCAACUCCAGCAACACUAAAACAUUAUUUUCCAUCAUGAACAGCAUUUUUCAGCCUCCCGACUCCUUACCCAUCCAUCUUUACUCUUCAGAAACCUGUAACUCUCUCCUUCAGUUUUUUAAUGAGAAGGUCAAUAGAAUCCAUCUCUCUUUACCUCAUUCCUCCCCUCCCUCUCCUGAUUNUCGACUAUUGCAAUUCACUUCUUUAUGGUCUCCCCAACAAACUCCUUCAUAA
rnacentral:lncRNA from 1 species